CAUAUGCUCCAAUUUUGUUUUCUUGCAGAACUUCAAUUUCAAAUAGCCUUGUUGAGGCCUUUUAAUGCGAUUGUUUGCAGGAUACUAUUUGAAUUGUGUUUUGGUUGGGUUUUGUGUGUUUUGAUGUGUUCAUUGAUAUUGUUUUGCUGUGAUUUUUGUCUCCCUUAUGUUCUAAAAAUACUGUAAAACACACAACGCAUAAAACUUGAUCAAAACAUCUAAAAUGUCUUGAUUCAGUUUUGGUUUAGGUCUUUUGCAGAUAGUAUUGUCGAUAGCAAUCCCUUGUGAAAGACUUAUAAUAAAACAUUUGGUACUAGAUCAACAGCUUGUGACAUUGAUUUUAGUGGCUUGAAUCCUUGCUCCAUACAGGAGGUAUAAAUGAUUAGAGCUUCUGGGAUCAAUGUCAGCAUAUAACAAAGUCUAAAACUUGCCUUAAGAAGGUAACAUGAACUAUUUUCUUGCCAGUCGAGGUGUUAACAUGUUCAAGAUACCUACAACUGAGUUUCUUAGAUUUUGGGCAUAUGAUUAAAGCAAAAUAGGUGUCAAAAGUCUUUUUGCCACUCUAGGUAAAGCAUGACACAUUCAGCAUUCAUAUAGGCACUUCAUUCAUUGCCUCUCCAGUUAACUAAAUGCAUUGCUUACUAACAAAACUUCUAAAAAAAUUUCAGCUAUGAAUAUGCUUUUUAAUUGCAACCAAAUGGGAACACUUAAUGGUUCAAACACAAGACUUAGAAUUGUGUCUAGGAUAUAGUGAUUAUGAGCCUGUCCUGCAUGAAGAUCCUCCAGCUGAGUUGACACCCACUAGUACUAGGGAGAUGAAGGAUAAGUAUGCUCAGUGGUACAAACAUAAUAGAAUGGCUCUUGUUAUUAUGAAAAGGUCUAUGUCAGAAGCUGUCAAGGGUGGUAUACCAGAUGCAAAACUAGCAAGAGAAUAUUUUAAGAACAUUGAAGAGAAAUAUCAAUUGUCCGAUAAGGCUGAAACUGGGACAUUAAUGAAUGCUCUUUCUAGUAUGAAGUUUGAUGGAGUACGAAGUAUCAACAAAUACAUUUUGAAGGGUACAGAAACUUAAGGCUUUAGGUGUCACCAUUGAUGACCCUUUUCUGGUUCACCUAAUCCUUAAUUCCUUACCCUCUCAAUAUUCUCAACUAGAAUGCAGUUACAACACACAGAAAGAAAAAUGGAGUGUGAAUGAAUUGAUUUCAAUGUGUGUGCAAGAGGAAGAUAGGAUUAAGAAGAGAAAAGGGGUGGCUGCUAAUCUGGUCAACAAGCCACAGUUCAGGAAGAAAGCCUUCAAGCCUCGAUAUUCUGCACCAUCCACCUCAAAAGCUGCAAAUGAAACAUCUCAGGGAUCUAACAACUUUAAGAAUCAAAAGUCAAGUUCAGUUAAGUGUUUCUUCUGCCGUAAGCCAGGGCAUGUUAAGAAAGAUUGCAGAGGUUUUAAGGACUGGAUGAGUUAGAAAGAGGAAGAUAGGAUUAAGAAGAGAAAAGGGGUGGCUGUUAAUCCGGUCAACAAGCCACAAUUCAAGAAGAAAGCCUUCAAGCCUCGAUAUUCUGCACCAUCCACCUCAAAAGCUGCAAAUGAAACAUCUCAGGGAUCUAACAACUUUAAGAAUCAAAAGUCAAGUUCAGUUAAGUGUUUGUUCUGCUGUAAGCCGGGGCAUGUUAAGAAAGAUUGUAGAGGUUUUAAGGACUGGAUGAGUUAGAAAGGGUUUUCUAAGAAAGAGGAAGUCAAUAAUGAGCAUCAGUAGCAUAAUGAUAUUGUUCAGCAACCUCAGGAAGUUGAACCACAACAACAACAACAAGAACCAGUACAACUGAGAAGAUCACAAAGGGAAAGAAGAUUAGCCAUUCCAGAUUGUUAUGAAACAACCUUUCUUACAGAGAAAGAGUUUGAUCUUGGAGAAGAAGAAGAUCCAGUUACUUAUUCGCAGACAUUACAAUCAACAUAUGCAGAUAAAUGGGUAGAGGCCAUGAAGUCAGAAUUAAUGUCAAUGGAAAUAAACAAAGUGUGGGAAUUGGUUGAUAAACCAGAAGAAUACAAGCUAGUGGGAUGCAAAUGGGUAUUCAAGACCAAGAAAGAUCAAGAGGAAAUAUAGAAAGGCACAAGGCGAGGUUGGUUGCCAAAGGGUUUACUCAAAAGGAAGGGAUUGACUACACAAAAAGAUUCUCACCAGUGUCAACUAAAGAUGCCUUCAGGAUAUUAAUGGCCUUAGUAGCUCACUUUGAUCUUGAGCUGCAUCAAAUGGACGCCAAGACAGCUUUUCUCAAUGAAAAUCUUGAGGAAGAGAUAUACAUGGUGCAGCCCGAGGGUUUUAUUAUUGAAGGAAAAACUGACAAGGUAUGUAAACUUGAGCAAUCCAUUUAUGGUUUAAGGCAGGCUUCCAGACAAUGGUACCUUAAAUUUGAUUCAGUAAUCACUUCAUUUGGUUUUGAGGAAAAUAAAUUGGAUGAAUGCAUAUAUAUGAAGAUCAGUGGGAGCAAGUAUAUUUUCUUAAUCUUAGAUGUUGAUGAUAUCUUAUUGGCAAGUAGUGAUGUGAAUAUGUUAAAAGAAACAAAGAGUUUUCUUUUGAAGAAUUUUGACAUGAAGGAUAUGGGUGAGGCUGCAUUUGUACUUGGUAUAGAAAUUAAGAGAGAUAGAAACAGAAAAGCCUUGGGAUUAUGUCAAAGAAACUACAUUGACAGAGUGCUUAAGAGGUUUGCAAUGAAACAUGUAAAGCUGGUGAAUCACCAAUGUCAAAAGGAGACCGACUACAUUCAGGGCAAUGUCCUAAAAACUUAUUAGAAAGAAAAGAGAUGGACAAAAGGCCAUAUGCAAGACUGGUUGUGAGUUUAAUGUAUGCUCAAGUAUGCACAAGGCCUGACAUUGCCUUUUCAGUUGGUGUGUUGGCAAGGUAUCAGCCUAUUCCUGGGAACGAGCAUUGGGUUGUAGUCAAGAAGGUACUCAGGUAUCUACAAAGAACAAAAAAUUUCAUGCUGGUAUACAGAAGAAUUGAAAAUCAGGACCUUGAAGUGAUUGGAUAUACAAAUUCAGACUACAAAGGUUGCAUUGAUGAUUUGAAAUCCACUUCAGGCUAUAUCUAUGAAUUUGCAGGAGGUGCAAUAUCUUGGAGAAGUGUUAAGCAGUCUUUAACAGCUACUUCAACUAUUCAGCUGAUUAUGUGGCUAUUCAUGAUGCCACUGGACAAGCUUUAUGGCUGAGAAACUUCAUGAAUGCAAUAAAGGUUGUGGAUUCAGUUGAAAGGCCAUUAAAGCUUUAUUGUGACAAUGCAGCUGCAUUGUUCUUUGCUAAGAACAAUAAAAGGUCUACAGUCUCAAGGAAUAUAGAUGUGAAGUACUAUGCAGUCAGAGAAAGUGUGAGAAACAAUGAAAUUGAGAUAAUUAAAAUUGUCACUCUGGCUCAGCUUGCAUAUCCCCUCACAAAGGCCAUUGCAGUAGCACCUUUUCAGGUACAUGUCAAAAACAUGGGUGUUUUAGAAACUCUUGACUUGGCAGAAUAAGUGGAAGUCUUUUCUGAACACAUCAGUUUUGAAUUUAUGUUUUUAGUAGCUGAAAACUUUAAAUCCGUUUAAGUAAAAUUUAGUUUUGGAAGUUUGUUUGUUCAAAGUUCUUAUCAUCAUAGAUUGUCUGCAUAUAUUAAUGAGCUUGAAAAUUUAGAAACGUUUCAAGAAUGUUGAAUAUAAGUUGCAGAUCUGCAUAACUAUGAUGAGUCAGCUGGAACUUGAAUUUUGUAUCAGUUAGGCAAUUUUUUAUGCAUUCUUGAUUCUGCUAUUGAAUCCUACAGAAGGACCUCAUUUAUGUUGUUACAUUUUCAUGUUCAUGAAGAUAGCUACUGUGAUCUGUGAUUAUUUCUUCAUGAUUUUGAGGUGCUAAUGCUUGGUUAAGCAUUUGUUUUCUCAUCUGUUGAAAUCAAUUGCAAAUUGACUGAGCGUUGAAAUAAGUUGGACUUCAUGGUUGGUCCAGCGCGCACUUCAUGAUUACUAUAUCUGAUUUCAGUAACAUUCUUGUUGUAUUGAACAUUGAUAGUCCAAGUGGGAGUGUGGAAUUGAUAUCUUAAGUCACUGCAACUUGUUGCUCUUAAGUACAGAAUAAGCAAUGAGAUCAUCGUUAAGUCUUUCAAUUAUGAUUCCUAGUUCAUUGAGGGAAACUUAUAUAAUUGGCCAUACCUCAUUACACUAGGUUCAAUAAAGAAUCUGUACAUGAAUCAGGAGUAUCUUCCUAUUGCUGAAAGGUUUAGGAAAACCUUUAUGGGACGGAACCUAAACCUAAGCCUAUAUAUAGGACUACUUGGUUUCUGCUCUAGCUAUCACAAAAAACACCAGAGAAUACAUAACCUCUACCCAUUGGAGACUCUCAAAAGGGAUAGCUCAGAGGAGAAACAAAUCGACUACACCAAUUGACAAGUUCAAUCUUCAAUCCUCUACGAUGGCUGCAGCUCCAGGUAAGUUUGUAUUCUUGCAUUGAGUACAAAGUUUAUAUGCAUACGUUCACUUUCAUAACUUAUAGAAGAUAUAGCAAAGUAAUGAUCAAUAAGAAGUAGAGCAGAUCGAGAACUAUACCUGCAAUGAGAAACAAUCCCCGAAAGGUAUACAAAGCCAAAUAAUCGGUUUCUUCCGGUACAAAAGAAGUAAAGUUUUGCCCAAAAUCAGCUGAGCUGCCUGAGCAUGAGACUAUGAUAUAAUCCGCCUCUCCCAGAUCUAUGUACUCGAGUACACCCUUCCACUCCUGGUCCUCAUUUUCUUAAGAAGAUAAACAGAGUGGUACAGAUUGUCAAGGCAGUUAUGUAAGAGACUAUAGCAGUUUCGGUUGGCUAAUUAGAGAAGUAGACUUGCAGAACCCACCAUAGGAAAGAAAGUAUAUAUUCUUAGAGAAGAAUUAAUGGAUAGAUCGCGUACCUUUGUACACAUCAGGUACAGGAUUGAGGUACGGAGUUACUCCAUUGCCAUAUUCAAUUAGUCAUAGUCAUUAUCGUCGAUGCUGCACCAAAACCCUAAGCUUGAAGAAUUAUUAUAAAAAUACCAGUAAUAUUGUUAUUACUUUGACCUAAGUAAACCCCAUCGUUUAAGUAAGAUCUUUUUGCAACAUUUGUUUCAAAUUGGUAAGGAACUGUGAGGCUGGAAUUGGGAGCUUCUGAUGCAUUUGUUGUGAACACAUACAAUAUUGAAGCUAAGCUGAACCAAGAAUUGAGCAUGUUGUGCUUUUCGCCUUUAUCUUUUCUAAACA